rnacentral:rRNA from 1 species
UGCGUAGGCGGCGUUAUAAGUCAGAGGUGAAAGGCUACGGCUCAACUGUAGAAUUGCCUUUGAUACUGUAAUGCUUGAAUCAGGUUGAGGCAGGCGGAAUGUGGCAUGUAGCGGUGAAAUGCAUAGAUAUGCCAUAGAACACCAAUUGCGAAGGCAGCUUGCUGGACCUUGAUUGACGCUGAGGCACAAAAGCGUGGGGAGCGAACAGGAUUAGAUACCCUGGUAGUCC